UUUCUUUUAAAAAAUGGCGUCAUCAUCAAAACUGUCGUUGUUGCCAAUUUGUAUUCAAUUUCCUCUGUUCCAUACUUUUCUUGAAUUAUACGCCACAACUCAAACUUCAAAAGUGGGCAUCUCUAGCCGUAAACUCGAAACAUUUACCAAGAGUACACUCUUAUUUCACACUCGAAUGAUUAAAAUACAGAUUUGUAAUUACUCGCGAUGGAAAUAAACCCAUUAAAUACAUCCGCCAAGAGAAAAGUAAACAAAAAAAAAUAACGAUAAUAAAUCCGCGAGCGAAAAAAACCACACCAAAUCAAGCCGCAAAAAUCCACCCUUCUUCUUCUACAUUUACACGUAAUCUGCGUAAUUUCAGAUUUCACCACCGUGCUCCAGCAAAGUGUAGUACGCUUACAAUACAUAAUCCAUCCCUUAUUCAUAGCCUAUUUAUAGAUACUGUGAUGACACAUGUAGGCAAAAUAUACGUAAAGUUAAAAUCUGUUAAAAAAACGUAAUAUCGGCUGGCGCCACACAGCCUCACAGCCAUAAAAAUAUGACGCGUGCCGAACAUUGGUAAACCACUGACCACCCUUCCGAGUUGCUAAUGUGCAACAAACGGUUCGUAAUUGCAGUAUUGCACAUUACGAACCGUAAGCAAUCUAAGUCAAAAUGUCUAAGCAAUUUAAGUCAAAAUGUCUUUUAGCCAACCCUUUACAUGAUGAUUUUUCCCUACAAAUACUCUGGUGAGUCCAGGGUUUGGUAUGAUUCGGUUUUCUAUCUUGUAGACGAAAGUCUUAAGUUUAGCUUCGGUUUAAGCUUAUUGUUUCUGUAUAUACUUGUGUUAAAUUCGUGAAAUAAAGUGAAAGUAUUAAUUAUUCAGUUCGUCAAUCAUUUAAUUGAAAAGGUCCAUAAGACCCAUUACAAUUUGGCGCCCAACGAAAAAAGAGCUUUGAAAGCUUUCGCGAAUCAAUUGAAUUUUCGUGAUUUUAAAUUAAAAAUCGUUUUUCUCAAAACGUAAUUGAAUACUUGAAUUUUUUCGGCAAAUUAUUUGAAUUUUCGUGAUUUUUAGUAAAGUUUCAAUUGAAUUUUUCUUCUCAUAUCUACCGAAUUUGAAUUCGUGAAUUUUUUUUUCCUGUCAUAAACGUAAUUGAAUACUGGAAUUUUUUUUUAAAUCAAAGUUGUGAAUUUUUUAUCGGAGAUUUUUUUGGUGAAUCUCAACGAAUUUUUACGAAUUUUAACGAAUUUUUGUGAAGUUUCUUGUGUCCGAAUCUGUAAAAUCAAAAAACGUGAAUUUUUUUAAUCAAAUUUCAACAAAUUUUCGCGAAUUCCAACGAAUUUUUGUGAAGUUGUUUGUGUCCGAAUCUGUAAAAUUAAAAAAAACGUGAAUUUUUUCAUCGGAGAUUUUUUUGUGAAUUUCAACAAAUUUUCCCGAAUUUCAACGAAUUUUCCCGAAUUUCAACGAAUUUUCCCGAAUUUCAACGAAUUUUCCUGAAGUUUUUCGUGUCCGAAUCUGUGAAGAAGUUCUUCUUGAAGGUCAACAGACGAUUACUUCCUGGAAAGUGGUUUUCAAGUCAAUUUUUCAAUUCAAUUUUCAAGAUGAUUCCUUACAAUGAACCUGAACCGUUAAGUCAAGCCACCAAAGCUCAAAUAAUGAGACUGGUCAAUCAUUACGUACAUAGAGAAAAACAGACCAUUAUUUUCUACGAUGACCAUGAUACAUGGGAUCUUGCGCACCCAGACGUUGCAGGGUACCAUGUACCCUUCUUUAAUGUGACCUGGGAUGAAAUUGACGAUGUUCAAAGGACAAUGAACAAACUUUUCUAUUAUUUAGGCAUUGAAGCCUAUGUAUUUUUCAUAACUGUGCCAAAUAAAAUUUUCGUUUUCGAUGUAAUAAUUUCAAACGAACAAAUUCUGCCCGAAUUAUUAUUGAAACCUGGGCAAUGAAACCAAAAAUGGAAAAAUGAAAAAUUCUACUUUUUUUGCUAUGUUAUUUUUUCAAUAUUUUUAUGCUAGUUUUUUAUUAUAUCAAGCAUGUACAUAGGUAGCUUUUAAUUAUAAGUAGGGCAACCCAAAAUAUGCUCUCAUUCAAGGUAAAGUACCUAUUGAAUAGGAAUUAUAUUCGAUUUUUCUUUGGAAUGAAACAUUUCCAAAAUAUUCAUAUACCCUACUUGAAAAUUUAAAUACAAAUGGGUAUCGUUUUCACUCGUUUUGAUGAGCACAAUUCAUAAUCAUUAAUUUUAAAUUCGUCAUUCCAUCAAUCAGCAAAUCAUAAUCAUCAAAAAACGACUGUGAACAUGACAUUUGCGAUCUUCCGAUCCUAAAACUGCUCAAAAUAUUCAAUAAAUUGUGAAAUAUGACGAUUUUCAGCAGAAAAUAUUCAGAAAUCUUUAAAUUGAGCUCAUUACAAAAAAAAACAUUCAAAAAAUAUAUUGGGUUGUCCCCAUGAAUAACAAACAGUAGUUUUUCUUAUUGUAUAAUUUAUUCUAUAAAAAUACGUAUAAAAAACAAAAAAAAAACAAUUAGUUUAAAUACAUACAUAUCUAAUAACUGUACAAAAAUUAAUAUUUUUCUUUUUUUUUACAGGUUAAUUAAAAUUACUUUUUACAAUUUUUUUUUCUCACUCUUUCUUCGGACUUGCUUGAUAUCAACUUAAACGUUUGAACGGUGCCUCUGAAAAUUACAAAAACAAAUACCUCAAUAAAAAUAAAACAAAACAAAAAAUCGUGAUUGAAAAAAAUAAAUAAAUCAAAUAAACAAAUAAAAGAACCUUUUUUUGGAAAAAACAAAUGACAAAAAAAAAAAAAAAAACCAUAAAAACUUCGAAAACAAAAUUCUAAAUUUAAAAAAAAAAAAAAAAAAAAAAAAAAAAAAGGAAAAUAAA